AACGCACAUUGCGCCCCUUGGUAUUCCGGGUGGCAUGCCUGUUCGAGCGUCAUUUCAACCCUCAAGCACAGCUUGGUCUUGGGCCCUGCCGGCAACGGCUGGCCUUAAAAACAGUGGCGGCGCCAUCGAGCUCUACGCGUAGUAAUUAUACCCUCGCGUGUGAGUCCCGGUGGAUGCUGGCCAGCAACCCCCAAUUUUCUAUGGUUGACCUCGAAUCAGGUAGGGAUACCCGCUGAACUUAA
rnacentral:misc_RNA from 1 species